rnacentral:rRNA from 1 species
AUUGAACGCUGGCGGCAGGCCUAACACAUGCAAGUCGAGCGGAGCGGCGGACGGGCGAGUAAUGCCUAGGAAUCUGCCUGGUAGUGGGGGAUAACGUCCGGACACGGGCGCUAAUACCGCAUACUAUCAGAUGAGCCUAGGUCGGAUUAGCUAGUUGGUGGGGUAAAGGCCUACCAAGGCGACGAUCAGUAACUGGUCGGAGAGGAUGAUCAGUCAUACUGGAACUGAGCAACGGUCCAUACUACUACGGGAGGCAGCAGUGGGGAAUAUUGGACAAUGGGCGAAAGCCUGAUCCAGCCAUGCCGCGUGUGUGAAGACGGUCUUCGGAUUGUAAAGCACUUUAAGUUGGGAGGCGUUUCCAACAUAAUAAGCACCGGCUAACUUCGUGCCAGCCGCCGCCGUAAUUC